rnacentral:rRNA from 1 species
UACGGGGGGGGCAAGCGUUGUUCGGAAUUACUGGGCGUAAAGGGGUUGUAGGCGGCCAACUAAGUCCGACGUGAAAUCCCAAGGCUUAACCUUGGAACUGCGUCGGAUACUGGAUGGCUUGAAUUCGGGAGAGGGAUGCAGAAUUCCAGGUGUAGCGGUGAAAUGCGUAAAUAUACGAAGGAACGCCAAAAGCGAAGGCAGCUCUCUGGGUCCCUACCGACGCUGGGGUGCGAAAGCAUGGGGAGCGAACAGG